AACGAACGCUGGCGGCGUGCCUAACACAUGCAAGUCGAACGAGAAAGGGGCUUCGGCUCCGAGUAAAGUGGCGCACGGGUGAGUAACACGUGGGUAACCUGCCUCUAAGAUUGGGAUAACUCGUCGAAAGAUGAGCUAAUACCGAAUAAGACCACAGUUCCCGCGGGAACAGGGGUCAAAGGUAGCCUCUGCUUGCAAGCUAUCACUUAGAGAUGGGCCUGCGCACCAUUAGCUAGUUGGUAGGGUAACGGCCUACCAAGGCAAAGAUGGUUAGCUGGUCUGAUAGGAUAAUCAGCCACACUGGAACUGAGACACGGUCCAGACUCCUACGGGAGGCAGCAGUGGGGAAAAUUGCGAAAGGGGCGAAAGCUUGACGCAGAAACGCCGCGUGAGUGAGGAAGGCCUUCGGGUCGUAAAGAUCUGUCGGGAGGAACGAAUGCUCAUGAGGUUAACAGCCUCGGGAGGUGACGGUACCUUCAAAGGAAGCACCGGCUAACUCCGUG
rnacentral:rRNA from 1 species